AGAGUUUGAUCAUGGCUCAGAGUGAACGCUGGCGGCAGGCCUAACACAUGCAAGUCGAACGGCAGCACAGGGGAGCUUGCUCCCCGGGUGGCGAGUGGCGGACGGGUGAGGAAUACAUCGGAAUCUACCUUGUCGUGGGGGAUAACCUCGGGAAACCGGGACUAAUACCGCAUACGACCUACGGGUGAAAGCGGAGGACCGCAAGGCUUCGCGCGAUUGGAUGAGCCGAUGUCGGAUUAGCUUGUUGGCGGGGUAACGGCCCACCAAGGCGACGAUCCGUAGCUGGUCUGAGAGGAUGAUCAGCCACACUGGAACUGAGACACGGUCCAGACUCCUACGGGAGGCAGCAGUGGGGAAUAUUGGACAAUGGGCGCAAGCCUGAUCCAGCCAUGCCGCGUGAGUGAAGAAGGCCCUCGGGUUGUAAAGCUCUUUUGUCCGGAAAGAAAAGCUUUCGGUUAAUACCCGGAAGUCCUGACGGUACCGGAAGAAUAAGCACCGGCUAACUUCGUGCCAGCAGCCGCGGUAAUACGAAGGGUGCAAGCAUUACUCGGAAUUACUGGGCGUAAAGCGUGCGUAGGUGGUUUGUUAAGUCUGUCGUGAAAGCCCCGGGCUCAACCUGGGAAUGGCGAUGGAUACUGGCAAGCUAGAGUGUGUCAGAGGAUGGUGGAAUUCCCGGUGUAGCGGUGAAAUGCGUAGAGAUCGGGAGGAACACCAGUGGCGAAGGCGGCCAUCUG
rnacentral:rRNA from 1 species